ACCCCUAACUCAGGGGCUUCCCUGGUGGUCCAGUGGUAAAGACUGUGCGCUUCCAAUGCAGGUGCGCUAACAAUGCAGGGGGUGCAAGUUCGAUCCCUGGUGGGGGAAGUAAAAUCCCACAUGCCGGGUGGCAUGGCCAAAAAAAAAGCCAAACAAACAAAAACACCACCCCUAACUCAAAGACCGCAUGGGAGUGGAUCUGAGAUCUGUCUUCCACUCCAUUCCUUGGUGCCCUGCAGUAAAUGCUGUUCUUUCCUUAACCACAACCAGGUGGCAGUAGAUUGGCUUUGUGAAGCCAGCGGACUAAGUUCCGUUUGGUAACACAAACAUCAGCACUCCCACAGAUUUUAGUAUGGUCCUUUUGUGAAGAACAAAAUCUGUCCUUAGAACUGGAGCCACUGUUUUCCUGUUUUCCAGCACCGCUCAUUGUGGAGUUUAGCCUUUUUUCCUGAAAAGCCUGGUAGGUUCGUGCAUCUAUGUGAACUACAUUACCCAGAACGCUCAACGGAAAAGGGCAGUAUGAGUAACCAAUGAGUUCUCAGGAGAUAGGCAGUUUCCGUUUGAGGCGCAACUUGUAAGGGCGGGACCUCCGGCCUCCUCCUCAAGGAGACCAUUUUACUGCCCAUUUUAACUGCUAUGGGUCAGUUCCGGAGCUCCGUGUUAGAAACGGGGUGACGGAACCGGGAAGGUCCGAGUAGAGGCAUAGUCCCCAUUGCACAGAGGCCGGUCUGAGGCUCGGCGACGCCGCCCGUGGGCCCCGCACCAGGCCCGGGAGAGGGUCCGCCGUGCCCUGGUCCCACUUCUCCCGCGGCUCCCGGCGCCGCUCCGCUCACAGAGUCCGAUGGCGGCGGCGGCGGCGCUUAGGCACCAGCCUCAGAGUCCGAAAGCUGCAGAAGUACUUAUGGAAACAAAACAGGCUCCGGACGCGCAGGCUCAGCGGCCAUGGCUCACAGGCCCAGCCGCUCCGCGGCAUGUGGGAUCUUCCCAGACUGGGGCACGAACCCGUGUCCCUUGCAUCGGCAGUAGAGGCUUUUGAAGACUGGAAGAACUGAAGCAAAUUCAAGAAUUGUGUGUGUCCCCAUGUAACCCAUUUUCUUUAUUUUUGAAACUGCUACCUGGCCAAAUGCUCAGUACUGAGAACUACAGUAGUAGUUGUAGUAGGUGAAAGGUGAGAAAUUUUUCAGAGGAGACAUAAUGGGUCACUUGAGUGUUUAUUUAUGUAGGAGAAAUGAUAAGAUUCGUUAAAAAAUUCAAUUAAAAUAAAUUAUUUUUUAAAUAUUGUAUUUUUUAACCAUUUAACUUUAGUUUUAAGUACUAAAUGAAUAUUUUUAAUGAAAUAUAAGUAAUUUUUAGCAAAAUUUGACAGCCAUUAGCACCUAAGAGCAACUUUCAAAGACCUACAUUUUCAUGUAGUCUUUAUUGUCCAUAUUUAAUAAUCAUUUGUUUUUUAUUAUGACUAACUUAUAAACAAUACUUGGUAAUUGAAAAAUAGUCUUACCUGUGGCUAAAUGUGUAAUUCUGCAGUUCUGUGGUGUCUGCUUUACUUCAAAUUGAUUGGAAAAUUGUUUUAAUAUUUUUAUGUUUAAUCAUGUAAAAUGCUUUUUAAUGUGUGCAGAUAUGAAGCACAUAACUUGUCUAAAUAUUAUUUCAAUCUAGAAUAUUUAGGUAAUGUGGUUGUUAUUAAUGAUAAAUUUUACUGAAAUAAGUUAUAUUUAUUACCACUAAUAAAGCAUCAUAGUAACAUUACCUCCCAGAAUGAGUUUUUCUUUUCAACAUUAGUUUAUAUUCCUGUAGUAAAUUAAGACGCUGCAUGGAUUUUUUUUCAAUAUUUUAAUUUGACGUUUUCCUAUUAUUUACAGGCUCAAAAUUUUUAGUAAUUGCUCAGUGACUCAUUAGAUGAUCUCUUGAAUGUGGUGCCAUUACCUUGAAAUGUUGAGUCUUUUUAUUCUUUUCACCAAUAAAUGUUGACUUUGAAAUCUGUCCUAAUUUAAGAUCCUCAAAAUUAUCUGUUGUUCCCUUACCACAUUUUUCAAAAGCAUAAAUAUUAUGUGAACUUUUUUUAUGCCUAUUAUACUGCAGUGAUCUGUGAGGGGCCUAUCCUCUCCUGUUCCCACAACUUUACAUGGUAUUUACAGUGAGAAACUUGUGGUCACUUAAAUAUAUGCGAAUUAAAAAAUCAAUGUCAAAACUCAUUACUGCAGAGACUGAAUAUCAUUUUUGGUAAUGAUUCAUUCUUCAAAAUUGUUUUAUGAUUCUAUAUCUUAAUAGAUGUAAAAGACAUCUGAAGAAAAUAAAGCAAUUUCCUUCACUCUUUGAUCUGACACUCAAUACUUCAGUAUAGGAAUGAACACAGCUCAUAGUGCUUCUAACUCUCCAUUCUCUGUUCUUUGCAAUCCUUGCAGGUGUUUCUUCUUACACUAUCUCUCAGUGGGUUCUACAUUAGCAACAAAAUGAAAAUUAAAAACGUUCACCUUCAGAGGAUAUGACUAGCGUCCUGAUCAGUGUCACUUGGGAAAUCUCUCAUAACUGUAAGCUUAUUAUUACAUAAUGAUAAGGAAAUUGGGUUUGGAGAUGUAUAUUUUGUGAUGCGUCUGUUAGAAUCCAAAACCUAACUCCAAUUUGUAAAAGUGUUUAAUAAAAUCCUACACUGAGUUUUAGUUUUUGAAACCCUCAGAACCACUUUGGGUUUUUUCAAGUGUGUUGUAGGUUCUGGUUGUGAUACAGUAAGAGACUGACUCACACUCCUACCAUAAACGACUAUAAAAGUGGCAAAAUAUGCGGAGUUCCUGCUUUGAGGAGU